rnacentral:rRNA from 1 species
GACGAAGGGGGCUAGCGUUGUUCGGAAUUACUGGGCGUAAAGCGAGUGUAGGUGGUUGUCCAAGUUGGAUGUGAAAGCCUUGAGCUCAACUCAAGAAAUGCAUUCAGGACUGGGCGGCUAGAGGACCGGAGAGGAUAGUGGAAUUCCCAGUGUAGUGGUGAAAUACGUAGAGAUUGGGAAGAACACCAGUGGCGAAGGCGGCUAUCUGGACGGUUUCUGACACUAAGACUCGAAAGCGUGGGAGCAACAGG